UACGUAGGCAGCGAGCGUUGUUCGGAUUUACUGGGCGUAAAGCGUGCGUAGGCGGUGGCCCAAGUCUGGUGUGAAAUCUCCCGGCUUAACUGGGAGGGUGCGCCGGAAACUGGGUUGCUGGAGUACCGGAGAGGCAAGCGGAAUUCCUGGUGUAGCGGUGAAAUGCGUAGAUAUCAGGAGGAACACCCGUGGUGUAGACGGCUUGCUGGACGGUCACUGACGCUGAGGCACGAAAGCGUGGGGAGCAAACAGG
rnacentral:rRNA from 1 species